GGGGCUGUAAGAAAAAAUGAAAGCUGCUACCGUAUUUUUCAUGUUUGGUUUUUUUUUGGCUCUUUAACCCAAUAGGAAAGCUGUAUAUGACCUUUUCAUUUUGGACUGUUAACAUUCAAAUUAUGAUGGACUUGUUUCCUUGUUUAUGUGAAUUACAGCAUCAUUAGCUGCAACAUCUGCCUGUUCUGUAAAACUGGUAGCUCAACGACAGCAUCCUGAGGGCAAUUAAGUGACAAAUAUUGUGCAAGAACAGCACUAUUACAACCCUGUCAAUUUCCACUUCUUAGAAUGUUUACUGCCAAUUAUCACACAUAAAACAAGAAAUAAUAUUCUGUACUAAUACUUCUGUACUACCCAAUACACAGUGAAUAAAUAUUAUCUGAAAGUCGGGUUAUUGUUGUUUAUCAGCACAAUACAAAAAGAUUCAUGUUAGACAUAUUCCAGUUAAGACUCUAGAAUAUCAUGAUUUAUGUAAAUUUACCUCAAUAAUAUGAAUGUUCAGGUUAAGAUUGUACAGUGAUAUUUAUUAUGUAAGUUUAGCUGAUUAAAGUUUAUGACUCUGCACUACAAUAUUAUUUAUUAUUUAAAUUUACAUCAUUAUUAUAAUAUUUAGGGUCAGACUCUACAGUAUUGAAAUUAAGAAAUCAAAUAUUCUAUAAAUGUAAAUACACUGAACUCAUUUGGAUAUAUUUAAGUGAGACUCUACAAUAUUAUUUGACACAAAUCUAUCUAAAUCAAAAUUUUAAUCAUUUUUACUCCAAACAUUUACUGGACUGAUUUAAAUAUUAAAAUCACUCCUUUGUAAUCCUCUGCUGUACAUUCAAACCUGAGGCCUUAAAUAGAAACACACAAGUAUCUGAUUGAAGGAACUUCUGCAGAGUUCUGGUUCCAGAACAUGAUGAUAGAAUUAUAGACAAACUUUAACAAAAGCUGCCUGAGAGUUUACAGGUUUUUACGUUGGAUUUCUUCAGUAAUUUAAUGAGAUUUAUCAGCAAUAAUCAAGUGUUCAUUUGAUGAACUUCUUUUCCUAAAACAUCCAGAAUUGGAGCUCAUAUCUUUGGCAGCUGUAAAGUUUCUGCUCCUUCAAAGUUCACAACACAAUGAAUGAAUUCUUAAAACACUCUCAAUGCUGGAGAGCGUUUUUGAUGCUGAAGCAGUGACCAGUUUUUCUGUUUCUUCUCUGGAGAAGCACAAUGAGGGACGUCUACAGAGACUGAGAAAGAGUCUCACCACAUCCUGACAUGAGGAAAAAGACUUUAUUGAAGACUACAAUGAGAAAAACUAUCAGACAGCAGACGGCUGCAUUCAAGAGAAGAAGACCAUCAAACAUCCACGUCAGCUGAUGGAGGUCCAAGAGUCUCACCAAACAAACAACCUACAGAGUGAAGACCUCAAAUCUGAUUGGACGGCCUCCUAUUCAGGCACGUGUGAACAAAUGCCUCUAAGCUGAUUUGUUUUCUAAAAUAAAUCUAGUUUGAGUCCUAA